CUACGGGACGCUGCAGUGAGGAAUAUUGCACAAUGGGGGGAACCCUGAUGCAGCAACGCCGCGUGGAGGAUGACGCAUUUCGGUGUGUAAACUCCUUUUAUAUGUCAAGAAAAUGACGGUAGCAUAUGAAUAAGCACCCGCUAACUCCGUGCCAGCAGCCGCGGUAAUACGGAGGGUGCAAGCGAUUAGGCGGAAUCACUGGGCGUAAAGGACGCGUAGGCGGGUUGGAAAGUCAGGUGUGAAAUCCUACAGCUUAACUGUAGAACUGCACUUGAAACUUCUAAUCUAGAGUAUGGGAGGGGGAGAUGGAAUUAGUGGUGUAGGGGUAAAAUCCGUAGAUAUCACUAGGAAUACCUAAAGCGAAGGCGAUCUCCUGGAACAUUACUGACGCUAAGGCGUGAAAGCGUGGGGAGCAAACAGGAUUAGAUACCCGGGUAGUC
rnacentral:rRNA from 1 species